UGUGGAGUGGGGCAGAGUAUGGGGCACAAUGUGGGGCACAGCAUGGGGCACGCUGUGGGACACAAUGUGGGGCACAAUGUGGGGUGUGCUAUGGGGUGCAGUGUGGGGCACGGCAUGGGGCACAGUGUGGGGCACAAUGUGGGGCACAAUGUGGGGCACGCAAUGGGGUGUGCUGGGGGGCACGGUGUGGCGUGGGGCACAAUGUGGGGCACAGCAUGUGGCACGCUGUGGGGCACAAAGUGGGGCACAAUGUGGGGCACAGCAUGGGGCACCAUGUGGGGCACAGCAUGGGGCAUGCUGUGGGACACAAUGUGGGGCACAAUGUGGGGUGUGCUAUGGGGCGCAGUGUGGGGCACGCUGUGGGGCACGCUGUGGGGUGAGCUGUGGGGCACACCAUGGGGCACAGUGUGGGGCACAAAGUGGGGCAGCUCUGGGGUGUGCUGGGGGGGCACGGGCUGGUGCGGGGCACAAUGUGGGGCACAAUGUGGGGCACGCUGUGGGGCGCUAUGGGGCGCUAUGGGGCGGACACCGGAUCACCCCACGGCCUCGCCCCACAUCUGACCCCACAGACGGCGACGCCGACGGUGUGAAUGGCGCCGUGGAAAUGGGUGGGGCGGAUUCGGAUUCCGGACAGCGGGACGGGAAUGGAAACCAGGUGCUGCCCCGCGUGUCGCACGAGGAGGUGAACCAGCGCCUGAACAACCUCUACAGCCUCCUGCUGGAGCUGCAGGUCUGUGGGGCGGCGCUGUGGGGCGCCAUGGGGUGGUGUUAUGGGGCUGACGCUAUGGGGCGCCGUGGGCAGCGCUGUGGGGCGCCAUGGGGUGAUGUUAUGGGGCUGACGCUAUGGGGCGCUGUGGGGCGAUGUUAUGGGGCUGACGCUAUGGGGCGCCGUGGGCAGUGCUGUGGGGCGCUAUGGGGCAGCUCUGUGUGUUAUGGGGCCGCUCCGCGCUAUGGGGUGCUAUGGGGCAGCUCCUUGCGCUAUGGGGCGCUAUGGGGUGCUAUGGGGUGCUACGGGGCCGCUCUCUGUGCUAUGGGGCGCUGUGGGGCCGCUCUCCGUGCUAUGGGGCGCUAAGGGGCAGCUGUCUGCACUAUGGGGCGCUACGGGCGGCUCCGUGCUAUGGGGCGCUAUGGGGCGCUAUGGGUCAGCUCUGUGCUAUGGGGAGCUAUGGGGCGGAUGUCUGUGCUGUGGGGAGCUAUGGGGCGCUAUGGGGCCAGCCUCCGCACUAUGGGGCGCUAUGGGGCCGCUCUCCACGCUGUGGGGCGCUAUGGGGCAGCUCUCCGUACUAUGGGGCGCUACGGGGCCGCUCUCCGUGCUAUGGGGCACUAUGGGGGGAUAUGGGGCACUACAGGGCUGCUCUCUGCGCUGUGGGGUGCUGUGCGGCCGCUGUCCGCGCUAUGGGGCGCUAUGGGGCGCUAUGGGGCAGCUCCGUGCUAUGGGGCGGCUCUGUGCUCUACGGGGCGCUGUGGGGCCGCUGUCCGCGCUAUGGGGCGCUAUGGGGCGGCUCUGUGCUAUGGGGCGCUAUGGGGCGAUAUGGGGCGCUAUGGGGCAG
ensembl:lncRNA